UAACCGCCCAAGCGGUAAGAGUCCCGUGGGCACGGUUCAGGAGCCUCCCUCCAAGUAUCCAGUCCCGGUGGGCGUGUUUGCCAAGAACUCCCUGUGGAAGGGCUCCUACGAGUACCUGGGCAAGAAGCAGCCCGCCAUGCUCAGCAUCAGCGCCUUCGAGGCCUUCAGCAACCGUGUCAACGGCACCCUCAUCGACCACAGCGGCGUGGAGCUCAAGCUAGCCGGCACCUACAAGCGGGAAGAGGCUCAGCUUCUUCUGCAGGUCCAUCAGAUCCGAGGUCCGGUGGAGAUCUU